rnacentral:rRNA from 1 species
GACGAACGCUGGCGGCGUGCUUAACACAUGCAAGUCGAACGAAGAGCGAUGGAAGCUUGCUUCUAUCAAUCUUAGUGGCGAACGGGUGAGUAACGCGUAAUCAACCUGCCCUUCAGAGGGGGACAACAGUUGGAAACGACUGCUAAUACCGCAUACGAUCUAAUCUCGGCAUCGAGGAUAGAUGAAAGGUGGCCUCUACAUGUAAGCUAUCACUGAAGGAGGGGAUUGCGUCUGAUUAGCUAGUUGGAGGGGUAACGGCCCACCAAGGCGAGGAUCAGUAGCCGGUCUGAGAGGAUGAACGGCCACAUUGGGACUGAGACACGGCCCAGACUCCUACGGGAGGCAGCAGUGGGGAAUCUUCCGCAAUGGACGAAAGUCUGACGGAGCAACGCCGCGUGAGUGAUGACGGCCUUCGGGUUGUAAAGCUCUGUUAAUCGGGACGAAAGGCCUUCUUGCGAAUAGUGAGAAGGAUUGACGGUACCGGAAGAGAAAGCCACGGCUAACUACGUG